rnacentral:lncRNA from 1 species
UAUUCUCUCCCUAGAAAACCUGAGGCCAAGUCCAAUGGAAAAUAAGACCCUAACAUACCAGGCAGGUACAUCCCAUUUCCACCAUGAUUAAGAGUCUCUAUGAAAUCAAUAAUGAUGUCUUCCUCAGUGUCCCAAGUACCUGGGACAAAAUGGAAUUUCAGAUGUUGUGAAGGUGACACUGACUCCUGAGGAAGAGGCCUGCCUGAAGAAGAGUGCAGACUCCCUCUGGGGAAUCCAAAAGGAGCUGCAGUUCUAAAGUUUGCUCAGUGUCCUAGCACUUCACUGUCCAGGCUGCAGCAAGGGUUCUAUGGAGACCACACACGUUCCUUCUCAUCUGAGCUGUGGUUGGUACAAUUGUGCUAAGGUAAUGUGGGUGAAAAUAUCAGUUCCCUCAGCUCUACCCUGCUGUCAACUAGUACUUGUGUAGUGGUAACCUGGUUAGUGUGGCAGUCCCACUGUCACUGCCAACUGUAUGCAGUCUUUAAUUACCUUAUAAGCCUGCUGCUUUGCUGUGCUGCACACCCUCACCAAACAUGCCUAGGCCGAUGAGUUCCUAGUUAAUCAUUAUCUGGCUCCAGUGUUUAAGUCCAUUAUGCAUAUCUUAUGCAUAAAUGUUCUGUAAGAUAUUACACAUAUGUGUGUGUGUCUGUAGUAUACAUUGCAAUGGUAUGUAAAAUGUAAGAUCUGCAUAUUGAUGAUGGAACCAACCACUCAAGUGUCAUGACAAUGAAAUCACCAAAUAAACCUUGAACAGUGCAAAAAGAAAAAAAAAAAGAAAUUGAUAUACAGUCAAAAACAUGUCAUAUCUAAAAAUUUUUUAAAAAUCAUACCAUAUAUAUCACCUAUAAAAGUUAAAUCAAGAUCAGUUAAGCCAUUUAAACAGAUUUACAACCAUAGUGAAAUAGAAGCAGUUAACCAGAAGCCUCUAACAAAAAAAAUGCCAGUUAUUU